AUUGAACGCUGGCGGCAGGCCUAACACAUGCAAGUCGAACGGUAACAGGAAGCAGCUUGCUGCUUUGCUGACGAGUGGCGGACGGGUGAGUAAUGUCUGGGAAACUGCCCGAUGGAGGGGGAUAACUACUGGAAACGGUAGCUACUACCGCAUAACGUCGCAAGACCAAAGAGGGGGAACUUAGGGCCUCUUGCCAUCGGAUGUGCCCAGAUGGGAUUAGCUAGUAGGUGGGGUAACGGCUCACCUAGGCGACGAUCCCUAGCUGGUCUGAGAGGAUGACCGGCCACACUGGAACUGAGACACGGUCCAGACUCCUACGGGAGGCAGCAGUGGGGAAUAUUGCACAAAGGGCGCAAGCCUGAUGCAGCCAGGCCGCGUGUAUGAAGAAGGCCUUCGGGUUGUAAAGUACUUUCAGCGGGGAGGAAGGGAGUAAAGUUAAUACCUUUGCUCAUUGACGUUACCCGCAGAAGAAGCACCGGCUAACUCCGUG
rnacentral:rRNA from 1 species